UUCUUGGGGAAAUACGAUAGUACUCGGAGUCUUCGGACAAAGAGAUAGUGCGCCUAAGGGCUUCCAAGAAAAACCUCUAAACUUCAGGUAAUUAGUACCAGUACCGUAAACCGACACAGGUAGUUGAGGAGAGAAUCCUAAGGUGCUCGAGAGAUUCAUGGCUAAGGAAUUAGGCAAAAUAGACCUGUAACUUCGGGAGAAAGGUCGCCAGCGCAAGCUGGCCGCAGUGAAGAGGUCCAGGCGACUGUUUAUCAAAAACACAGGGCUCUGCAAAAUCGUAAGAUGAAGUAUAGGGCCUGACACCUGCCCGGUGCUGGAAGGUUAAGAGGAGAUGUUAUCUUCGGAGAAGCAUUGAAUUGAAGCCCCAGUAAACGGCGGCCGUAACCAUAACGGUCCUAAGGUAGCGAAAUUCCUUGUCGGGUAAGUUCCGACCUGCACGAAUGGUGUAACGAUCUGGACACUGUCUCAGCCAUGAGCUCGGUGAAAUUGUAGUAACGGUGAAGAUGCCGUUUACCCGCAGUGGGACGAAAAGACCCUGUGCACCUUUACUAUAGCUUAGUAUUGACCUUGGAUAAAUGAUGUGUAGGAUAGGUUGGAGACUGUGAAGUGGCGUCGCCAGGCGUUGUGGAGUCAUUGUUGAAAUACAACCCUUUGUUUAUCUGAGGCCUAACCCCGUUUUGCGGGGGACAUUGCUUGGUGGGUAGUUUGACUGGGGUGGUCGCCUCCAAAAGAGUAACGGAGGCUUCUAAAGGUUCCCUCAGUACGCUUGGUAACCGUGCGUAGAGUGCAAUGGCAUAAGGGAGCUUGACUGAGAGACAUACAGGUCGAUCAGGUACGAAAGUAGAGCAUAGUGAUCCGGUGGUUCCGCAUGGAAGGGCCAUCGCUCAAAGGAUAAAAGGUACGCCGGGGAUAACAGGCUGAUCUCCCCCAAGAGCUCAUAUCGACGGGGGGGUUUGGCACCACGAUGUCGGCUCGUCACAUCCUGGGGCUGGAGAAGGUCCCAAGGGUUGGGCUGUUCGCCCAUUAAAGUGGCACGCGAGCUGGGUUCAGAACGUCGUGAGACAGUUCGGUCUCUAUCUACUGUGGGCGUUAGAAAUUUGAGUGGAUCUGAUUCUAGUACGAGAGGACCGAAUUGGACAAACCUCUAGUGUAUCUGUUGUCCCGCCAGGGGCACCGCAGAGUAGCUACGUUUGGAAGGGAUAAGCGCUGAAAGCAUAUAAGCGCGAAACCCACCACAAGAUGAGAUUUCUUUUAAGGAUCGUGGAAGAUGACCACGUUGAUAGGCUAUAGAUGUAAAGGCAGUAAUGUCAUAGUCGAGUAGUACUAAUAAUCC
rnacentral:rRNA from 1 species